rnacentral:lncRNA from 1 species
AAACAAUGAUCAUUUCACAAAACAUUUAGCAACACAUGUCACAUUUUGCAUCAUGUCCAAUCACUCAAGCACAUUUGAAAAUCCAGCAAUGCAAAAAUUAUGAAAUAAAUGUCACAAAAUAAAAGACAUCAAUAUGAACAUGUGAGAAAAAAUUGCAUUCAAUUUGGAUUAAUAUUCCAUUUGUUAUGAAUUUUAGAAAUUACAUGAACAAAAUGAAAUAAUGUGACAAGAAUAAAUGGAAAAUAAAAAUGUGAAAAGAAA